rnacentral:rRNA from 1 species
AUUGAACGCUGGCGGCAUGCCUUACACAUGCCAGUCGAACGGCAGCACGGGUGCUUGCACCUGGUGGCGAGUGGCGAACGGGUGAGUAAUACAUCGGAACAUGUCCUGUAGUGGGGGAUAGCCCGGCGAAAGCCGGAUUAAUACCGCAUACGAUCCACGGAUGAAAGCGGGGGACCUUCGGGCCUCGCGCUAUAGGGUUGGCCGAUGGCUGAUUAGCUAGUUGGUGGGGUAAAGGCCUACCAAGGCGACGAUCAGUAGCUGGUCUGAGAGGACGACCAGCCACACUGGGACUGAGACACGGCCCAGACUCCUACGGGAGGCAGCAGUGGGGAAUUUUGGACAAUGGGCGAAAGCCUGAUCCAGCAAUGCCGCGUGUGUGAAGAAGGCCUUCGGGUUGUAAAGCACUUUUGUCCGGAAAGAAAUCCUUGACUCUAAUACAGUCGGGGGAUGACGGUACCGGAAGAAUAAGCACCGGCUAACUACGU